ACCCUUAGAACUACAGCUUCAGUUUCCUUCAUGUAACCGUCAGGUUCCCGUGGUUUUCUUGAGUGAGUUCCGGUAGGCUGUGCCCCUCAGGGAGCGGUCGUCUCGUCUCUGCGACUGAGUCUUUCUGUACAGGACUGUGUGCUUACUGCGUACCGGCCGCGUUGCCUGUGAGUUUCCUCAGGUGAAGAAUUAGAUUAUCGAUUUGAAGUCUUUCUUUUUAAAGAUCCCCCUAGCGCCCCAGGGAACAUGCAAAGCCCUCUCUGUUGGCUCGGGAGCUGAGUCACCCCAGCACUGUCACGGUGGCCGAGCAUCGGAUCACAGCGCACAUAACACACCUAGUGCGAAGGUUUACCUUUUAGUAAAAAGAAAUUGCUGUAAGUGUUUUGAAAAAAUCCAGGACAUCGAGGCAGCCACGAAAAGACAUCAGGAAAGAAGACUUCCAGAGCUGCAUCAGAACGUGGCAAGAACAAUGACAUAAAUGUGCAUGGAGGGUGUGUGUGGGGAGUAGUUUAAUGGGGGCCAAUGGCAA